CGACACACACGCACGCAUACGAUUUCACGCCGACCUCAGAUCAGGUAAGACUACCCGCCGAAU
rnacentral:rRNA from 1 species